rnacentral:rRNA from 1 species
GGAAUAUUGGGCAAUGGACGGAAGUCUGACCCAGCCAUGCCGCGUGCAGGAAGAAGGCCUUCUGGGUUGUAAACUGCUUUUAUCUAGGAAGACAACACCCAUGCGUGGGAAACUGACGGUACUAGAUGAAUACGCACCGGCUCACUCCGUGCCAGCAGCCGCGGUAAUACGGAGGGUGCAAGCGUUGUCCGGAUUUAUUGGGUUUAAAGGGUGCGUAGGCGGCCCGUUAAGUCAGUGGUGAAAUCCUCCAGCCCAACUGGAGAACUGCCAUUGAUACUGGCGGGCUUGAGUACAGACGAGGUUGGCGGAAUUGAUAGUGUAGCGGUGAAAUGCAUAGAUACUAUCAAGAACACCGAUUGCGUAGGCAGCUAACUAGGCUGUAACUGACGCUGAGGCACGAAAGCGUGGGGAGCGAAC